rnacentral:rRNA from 1 species
AAAGAUAUAACUUUUCUAGAAAUAGCUUGCUUUUAUCCGAAACUUAAAAAAAAAAUCAAAUAAACCAAAAAUUUAUAGUGAUGGACUUUACCAUCAAAACUUAAAAAAUAUAGAUGAGUUUGGUGAUGGCUCUGAUUGAACGCUGUCAAAGUGCUUGACACAUGCUAAUCGAACGUUUAAUUUAAUGAAUAAUUUUAUUAAAAGUGGUGAACAGGUGAGUAUAGAUAUCCGGCCUGCCUUAAAGAGAGGGGAAAGAUCCCUCAUAGUCAAAAGGUGUAAUACCGCUUUAAGAGGACUUAAGGAAUAUCGUCGGGAUAGGUGGUUGUUAAGGUGAUUACUUAACAAGCCUUAACUCUCGUAGUCGAAACUGAAAUGGUUGAUCGACCACAUUGGGUCUGAAAAAAGCCCAAGGCAAUUGAGUACAGCAGUGAGGAAUUUUGGUCAAUGGCCUAACGGCUGAACUGGCAACUUUGAGGAAUGUAGAUUAAAAGAUCUAUAAAUUGAUUUAUCGAAUAAAAUUCUAAAUGUUUAUUGAUAAUGACGAUAAACAGAUUGAUGCCUUGACUAAUUACGUGCCAGCAGUCGCGGUAAUACGUAAGAGGCUAGUGUUAUUCAUCUUUAAUAGGUUUAAAGGGUACUUAGACGGUAAAAUUUUCCUUUAUAAAGGUACGUUUUUACUAGAGUUUUAUGUGAGAAGGUAGUACUUGAGGUGUAGAGAUUAUAUUCGUUGAUACCUUAGGGACUGAUAAAGGCGAAGGCAACCUUUUAUGUAAAAACUGACGUUGAAGGACGAAGGCACAGAGAACGAACAGGAUUAGAUACCCUAGUAGUCUUUGCAGAGAAUGAUGAAUGCCAUAGGUUAGGUUUAACUUAGUCUAUAAAUGAAAGUGUAAGCAUUUCACCUCAAGAGUAAUGUGGCAACGCAGGAACUGAAAUCACUAGACCGUUUCUGACACCAGCAGUGAAGUAUGUUAUUUAAUUCGAUAAUCCACGAAAAACCUUACCACAAUUCGAAUGUUAUUAAUACUAAUUAAUAAUACAAGUGUUGCACGGCUGUUUUCAGUUAAUGUUGUGAAACUGCGGAUUCGUCCGUGGAAUUAACGGAUACCCCGGCUUUAUUUAUAAAUUAUUAAUAUAGAGCAUUUUCUGAUACGCUACAAUUGUCAGGACAAAAGGGAAUAAGACAAGUCAUCAUGGCCUUAAUAUUGUGGGCUAUAGACGUGCCACAUAUACCUAGACAAAGAGAAGCAAAAAUGCGAAUUUAAGCUAAUCUCAAAAAAUAGGAUAAAAUAUGGAAAUGGAUUGUAGCCUGAAAUUCGGCUGCAUGAAUAAGAAAUUGCUAGUAAUCGUGAAUCACCAUGUCACGGUGAAUAAUACUUUGGAUUGGUACUAAUCACUCGUCACAUGCUGAAAAGAGUUGGUGCAAUAAGUUUGCUUUUUUAUUAUAAGUACAUGAAUGAUGAGAUUUAUAUCUUAUAAUAGGAUUCUUCGUAUGCGCGGUUCUAAUUAGUGUUAAGUCGAAAUACAGUUCGUGUAGUGGAAGUUGCACGGGGUUUAUAAAAUUGAACAAAAAAAACA